GCCCGGGUGGCUCAGCGGUUGAGCAUCUGCCUUCGGCCCAGGGCCUGAUCCUGGAGUCCCGGGAUCGAGUCCCGCUUCGGGCU
rnacentral:tRNA from 1 species